rnacentral:lncRNA from 1 species
GAAUUUGAAGGUUUAAUGACUGGCCUUUGUUUCAGCAUGAUGUUUGCUCUGGUUUUUGCACCUAUGACAUGUAUUCUGAUGCUUAAGAGGUUGAAAAUAUCAUGCUGGUCCAGUGUACCAACUCCAAGAAAGAGCAGUGCGAUCCAAGAUAUGAAUAAUUGGAAACCCAUUUCAAAAUCACUGCUUCAAACCCUGCCAGACAAUGAUACCACCAGCCUUUAUGUCAUAGAGCAUGAGGAAAAGACUUCUUUGAAGCUAGAGCACUCUACAGAUGGCAUAGAAGACAGCAAGCAUGACAUCAGAGAGUCAGAAGAACCUAGCAAUAAUAUAGGCAUAAAUAUAAUACACAAAGAAAUCCCUGAAAAAACAGUUACAAGUGAAAAAGAUGGAAUAAUUUCCUUUACGGUACCCCUCUUGAGCGACUACACCAGCAUGGAGUGCAGCCAGAAAGCUCUGAUGAGUCUGACAGUGAAGCUGCCUGCAAGAGCUGCUCAUCCUCGCCUGGAAAUGGAACUAAGUAAUAAGCCAACACAAACUGAGCAUCAAGUUUUGUUUGCUCCCCAGGACUACCUCAAACAAAGCCAGGUAGUAUUUUUGCCACCUAGACCAACUUUGAUGGGAAAAGUCGAUUUGAACUGAGGAAUCUUAAAAAAUUCAACUUUCAAAACAUCAAGUACAUGAAUAGAGAGCAUUAAGACCA